CUCUUCCGAUCUGGUACUGUCCUGUUUGAGUUGAAGAAUGGCGGUCACAAGGUACUCACAGAUGUGUACUAUAUUCCCAAGCUAAAGAGUAGCAUCAUAAGUCUUGGCCAGCUCGAGGAGCGUGGUUGCAAGAUUGUGCUCGA